rnacentral:rRNA from 1 species
UACGUAGGUCCCGAGCGUUGUCCGGAUUUAUUGGGCGUAAAGCGAGCGCAGGUGGUUUAUUAAGUCUGGUGUAAAAGGCAGUGGCUCAACCAUUGUAUGCAUUGGAAACUGGUAGACUUGAGUGCAGGAGAGGAGAGUGGAAUUCCAUGUGUAGCGGUGAAAUGCGUGGAUAUAUGGAGGAACACCAGUGGCGAAGGCGGCCUACUGGACGGUGACUGACGCUGAGGCUCGAAAGCGUGGGGAGCAAACAGG